CGUGCAGACUCGCAGCCGGAUCGACAUGCACUUGGAUCAUUGCAGUUCCUGGGCCUGCUGUCAUCUCUCCCUUCAGUACUUCCCACAUACGACUACCAACCGUUAGACGAUGUGCUGCCAGAGCAGCGUUUCAUUUCCUGGACAUCCGGCUAUCUACCCAGGAAAAGUCAUCCUUUGACAUUUCUCAUCUGACUCGUGAUCUGCCCAUCUUGUUACUCCCUAGCAGUGUGGUAAGACACUUUUCCUUGACCUUCUCCACCAUGUUUUGAUGCAGCACGAAAACCUUCACCAGAACUGAGCAGAUGCUGGUGCCUUGCUUCUUGAACAGCCUGCAGAAUU